ensembl:lncRNA
CCGAGACAGCACUGUGUGAGACAAUCCGUUUUCCUUUUGCCUGGCUCUUGUCAGUGAAAUAUGAUGGCCACAGAUGUGCCCAAAUUUGAAGAAAAAUAAUCUUUUACAUCUUGUAUGUGGAAUGUGGUCUUUCACCGUAGGAACACCAAAUAACCAGUGCAACGUUUAAGUUUCAAGCCUGACAUUGUUCACUCUGCCAGCCUUUUGAAAGCCUUCUUUUAUUAAGAGCCAGGUUUCCCACUGCUCCCCUGUGUGAGGGGAGGUGCCUCGCUGGUGCUAAGUCUGCAGGUAGGUACUUAUGAGCAGUGGGCAGAUCCACAUUCCUGCUUCACCCACCCUUCCACUCUGCUCUCCAGAAACAAAGGUGCAUGACACAGCAGUGCCAGAGAUGUUCACAGCCACUCCAGGACAGAGGAGGACCUCCUGUCUUCCAGCACUGCUCCUGGGAAAGCUCUGCCUGAGGCACGACAGAGUGAGGAAAAAGGCAGCCUGGUUCCAGCCAGGGAUGGAAAUUAUUCUGGCAAGGUGUUCGUGAACCAGAAGGUGAAAACCUGUUGGUGUCAGCAGGAGAAAGAGACUAAGAGGCAGAUGGUGUCAGUUAAAAAAGCUGGGAUCACAAGUCUGCUUCUUUUCUGAAUGAUUAUCAGUAGGAUGAGAGACUGAUGCCUGAAGAGAUGCUGGGUGAAUUAUAUACACUUGAGAAGGCUCUUCACACACAUGGAAUGAACACAAAGGUGCGCCUUUUCUUUGCUAGGUAAAGGGAAGAUUUCUGUUUCCAACAAGAAACCAAGCAGAAAGUUUUUUGCUUGUGCAGAAUAAGUAAUUUUAUUUGUGGUAUAUGGAGCUAAGAGGCAGUGGUUUCAGAAGCAAUUGCUACCGGGUGUGAAUCUGCAGCAUACAUUAGCUCUAUGCCAUCUGCAGAGUCCGACAUGUGUCCCAGCAUAAGAAUCCCAAAACCUGACUGGCUAGACAGGCACGGUCUUCAUGAACCACUGACUUCCAAGCUGAACAGGGCAACUGCUAUGCUGAAUUAGAGAUUUCUUUCCCAGAAGUAAACCAUGAGCUUAAAGAAAUGCAACUCAAUUAAUGGGCAGACUAAGUUCCUGGGGAAAGUGGAAUUAUCUUCAUUUUUUCUUUGACAUGCUUAUUACCACUGGAGGUGCAGCAAAGAUGAAGCUGAAGGUCACUGAAAAGAAAGAAAGAUUGAAUUUGAAGUACUUUAUCACUGAAACUGCAGCAUUUUCCCCUUACCAGUUUUUAAAACCUAAAUAUCCAUUAUAUUUCAUUGGUGCUUAG